rnacentral:rRNA from 1 species
GACGAACCGUACGAACGUUAUUCGGAAUCACUGGGCUUAAAGGGUGCGUAGGCUGCGCGGAAAGUUGGGUGUGAAAUCCCUCGGCUCAACCGAGGAACUGCGCCCAAAACUGCCGUGCUCGAGGGAGACAGAGGUGAGCGGAACUUAGGGUGGAGCGGUGAAAUGCGUUGAUAUCCUAAGGAACACCGGUGGCGAAAGCGGCUUACUGGGUCUCUUCUGACGCUGAGGCACGAAAGCUAGGGUAGCGAACGGG